rnacentral:rRNA from 1 species
CAGUCGCCGCGGUAAUACGUAGGUGGCAAGCGUUGUCCGGAAUUAUUGGGCGUAAAGGGCUCGCAGGCGGUUUCUUAAGUCUGAUGUGAAAGCCCCCGGCUCAACCGGGGAGGGUCAUUGGAAACUGGGAAACUUGAGUGCAGAAGAGGAGAGUGGAAUUCCACGUGUAGCGGUGAAAUGCGUAGAGAUGUGGAGGAACACCAGUGGCGAAGGCGGCUCACUGGCUCGAAACUGACGCUGAGGCACGAAAGCGUGGGGAGCAAACAGGAUUAGAUACCCCGGUAGUCCCUGUCUCUUAUAC